rnacentral:rRNA from 1 species
UACAGAGGGGGCAAGCGUUGUUCGGAAUUACUGGGCGUAAAGGGCGCGUAGGCGGCCCGCUAAGUCGGACGUGAAAUCCCCGAGCUCAACUCGGGAACUGCGUCCGAUACUGGCGGGCUUGAAUCCGGGAGAGGGAUGCGGAAUUCCAGGUGUAGCGGUGAAAUGCGUAGAUAUCUGGAGGAACACCGGUGGCGAAGGCGGCAUCCUGGACCAACACUGACGCUGAGGAGCGAAAGCCAGGGGAGCAAACGGG